rnacentral:rRNA from 1 species
ACCAAGAACCGACACAGGUGUCCCUAGGCGAGAAACCUAAGGCGUGUCGGGUAUACACUAAUGCGAGGGAACUCGGCAAUUUAGCCCCGUACCUUCGGUAUAAGGGGUGCCUGCUCUUUCAGCCUUGUGCUGGUAAAAGCAGGUCGCAGUGACAAAGGGGUCUCGACUGUUUAAUAAAAACACAGGAAGCCGCAAGAGCGAAAGCUUGUGAACGGCUUCUGAAUCCUGGCCAGUACAGGUACCUGAAACCUGGGUCCAACUGGGCUAAGGGCCUGCAAACGCCGGGAGUAACUCUGACUCUCUCAAGGUAGCCAAAUGCCUUGUCGGGUAAGUUCCGACGUGCAUGAAUGGAUCAACGAGGGCCCCACUGUCCCCGCGUAGUACCCGGUGAAACCACAUAACGUGGACGAACAGUCCACGAUCUCCCAGCGGGAAAAGAAGUCCCUGUGGAGUUUUACUGCAGCCUGCCGCUGGAAUACGGUUGUGGAUGCAGAGCGUAGUCGGGAGCCGUCGAUCUGGGGUUCUCCGGGACCUCGGGGAGGCAACAAUGGAACACCGACUUUCUGCAACCGUGUUUCUCACCGGCCCCUUGCGGGCUGGAACAACGGUAGGUGGGCAGUUCGGCUGGGGCGGCACGCCCUUGAAAAGAUAUCAAGGGCGCCCUAAGGUUGGCUCAGGAGGGACAGAAACCCUCCGUAGAGUGCAAGGGCAAAAGCCAGCCUGACUGGAUCCCAAACAGUAAGGGAUGCAGAGGAGAAAUCCGGGCUUAGCGAUCAUCCAUGUCCCCCUUGGUGGGGGCUGGAUGUGUCAGAAAAAUUACCCUAGGGAUAACAGGCUCGUCGCGGGCGAGAGUCCCCAUCGACCCCGCGGCUUGGUACCUCGAUGUCGGCUCUUCCUAUCCUGGCCCUGCAUAAGGGGCCAAGGGUGAGGCUGCUCGCCUAUUAAAAGGGAACGUGAGCUGGGUUUAGACCGUCGUGAGACAGGUCGGACUUUAUCUGCUGGGAGUGUUGGCUGCCUGAGGGGAAAGGGUCCCUAGUACGAGAGGAACGGGACGCUGUGGCCUCUAGUUAACCGGUUGUCCGACAGGGCAGUUGCCGGGCAGCCACGCUGCUGAGGAUAAGAGCUGAAAGCAUCUAAGCUCGAAGCCUCUCCCGAAAAGAGGCAGCCAUUCCAGUUUCACUGGACGAAGGCUCCCAUAAAAGAUGGGUUUGAUGGAGCCGGGGUGUAAGCUAGAAGACUUCGGUCGACUAGCUCAGCCUGCGGCCACCAAUCGCCUGAGAUGUCGAG